rnacentral:tRNA from 1 species
CAAAAUGUAGCUUAAUCAAAGCAUCUCGCUUACACCGAGAACAUAUCUGUGAUACCCGGAUCAUUUUGA